rnacentral:tRNA from 1 species
UCGGGGGUCGUCUAACGGUAGGACAACGGGUUCUGGCCCCGUUUAUCCAGGUUCGAAUCCUGGCCCCCGAG